rnacentral:rRNA from 1 species
GACGGAAGGUGCAAGCGUUGCUCGGAAUCACUGGGCGUAAAGGGUGCGUAGGCGGCUUGGUAAGUUGGGUGUGAAAGCCCCGGGCUCAGCCCGGGAAGGGCACUCGAAACUGCCGAGCUGGAGUGCCGGAGGGGAGAGUGGAAUUCCUGGUGUAGCAGUGAAAUGCGUAGAUAUCGUAAGGAAGACCAGUGGCGAAGGCGAAUCUCUGGACAGUUACUGACACUGAGGCACGAAGGCCAGGGGAGCAAACGGG